UUACCAAAAUGCCAUGUUAGAGUCAAAGGAAUUGAAAACCAGGUUCUCAAAAUCCCCUUCUUCUCCCUCUUCCGUGUCACCAUAUCCAUGAACCUCAUAUCCAUGAUUGUCUAUGUGUCUCUACCAUAAUCAAUUCUCUUGCUAAUUCAUCAAACCUAUUUACCUAAAACUAGACUAGCUAAUCCUAAUCACCAAUUUGUUAACUCAAAACUCUUACACUUGUCUCUACCAACAAUCUGAGUUGUUGCAUCCAUGGAGCACCAUUGCUCCUAUAAAUAGCUGCUCAAUCAUCCCAGAAACAAUACAAUUCAGAUUGACCUUCAAUUUCUAAACCACCAUUAAAACCCUCUUAAACAAGAUAAAUUUCUGGAAAAUUACCAAAACCACCACAUUAACCACCACUGCCGCCCCAUUCUGCCGGAAACCACCGCAACUGUCACUGGCGUUGCUGUCGGCAUACCGCUUCCACCCAGCUUCGCUCAGGUAUCCGACCACCUUACUCUCGUGAAGCCAACUAGUAGCCGCCACCUUCUCUUUUCUCUUUUCUCUUUUCCUUCGUGCGGCUCUUUGUUCCGUUGCUGGCGCUCCAAAAAUGUCGGGAAGCAAGUUCCAUUUGGAACUUUGUUUCUUUGUAAAGUCAGCCCAUUAACUAAGUGCUAAGAGUGGCCCAACUUCAAUCUUUUUGGAAGAAAAAUCGGACUCGGAGCUCAGGAAGGACGAUAAUCAAGGUUAGAGAAAAGCCUAGUCAAUCGCGAAAUUGAGGUACUGCGGGGAAUGAUGGACACGAGUAGUGGCGAGGAGUUUCACUUUAAUAUUAUCCACCUAGUUUAUGUUUUCGGUUCUAAUAGUUUAAUAAGUUUUAAUUAAAGACUUUUAGUAAGUUAUGUACUUUCAUUUUGGUAAUAUAAAGGAUUAUUAUAUA